rnacentral:rRNA from 1 species
AGAGUUUGAUCAUGGCUCAGAUUGAACGCUAGCGGCAUGCUUAACACAUGCAAGUCGAACGGCAGCACGAGGAGCUUGCUCCUUGGUGGCGAGUGGCGGACGGGUGAGUAACGCGUAGGAAUCUACCUUGUAGUGGGGGAUAACCCGAGGAAACUCGGGCUAAUACCGCAUAAUCUCUACGGAGCAAAGCGGGGGACCUUAGGGCCUCGUGCUAUUAGAUGAGCCUGCGUCAGAUUAGCUUGUUGGUGGGGUAAUGGCCUACCAAGGCGACGAUCUGUAGCUGGUCUGAGAGGAUGAUCAGCCACACUGGGACUGAGACACGGCCCAGACUCCUACGGGAGGCAGCAGUGGGGAAUAUUGGACAAUGGGCGCAAGCCUGAUCCAGCAAUGCCGCGUGUGUGAAGAAGGCCUUCGGGUUGUAAAGCACUUUCAGUGGGGAAGAAAGUAGUAAGGUUAAUAACCUUAUUAUAUGACAUUACCCACAGAAGAAGCACUGGCUAACUCUGUGCCAGCAGCCGCGGUAAUACAGAGAGUGCAAGCGUUAAUCGGAAUUACUGGGCGUAAAGCGCACGUAGGUGGAUUCUUAAGUCGGAUGUGAAAGCCCUGGGCUUAACCUAGGAAUUGCAUUCGAUACUGGGCGUCUAGAGUAUAGUAGAGGGAAGUGGAAUUUCCGGUGUAGCGGUGAAAUGCGUAGAUAUCGGAAGGAACACCAGUGGCGAAGGCGGCUUCCUGGACUAAUACUGACACUGANGUGCGAAAGCGUGGGUAGCAAACAGGAUUAGAUACCCUGGUAGUCC